rnacentral:lncRNA from 1 species
UGAAAAAUGAGAAUUUUUGUGCUGCCACUACAAGUAUCAAAGUGGAUGGCUAUGUUUAUUGUACUAACUGUGGUUCACUCUCUCAAAAUGGCAUCUUCAGUAAGAAAAAUUAUCUAUCUUCUGUAUUUUUCUAAUCUUGUUAAAUCUUUCAGAUGCCAAGGUAAACCUGGUUUGUCCAGGAGACAGUGAUUCAUCAUUUACAAAUAGUAAAGGAUACUUUAAUAUCUUUGAAUUAGUGAAGACUGGAACAGAUAUUGGGAGUUGUCGAGUGAGUGUGGAUACAAGUAGAGCACCCCGAGGGUGUUCUUUUUUAACAGACAUAAAUGGUGGAUCAAGUGGCCAAUCCUUAAGCACAUGCACCAAUAAUGGAAAUAAUAAGUUCACUUGUGGACCUUAUUAUUUUACUCCAAAUGCCUGUUCACCUCCACCACCACCAAGUCCACCUCCUCCUCCACCACCACCACCACCAAAAACUCUGCCACCGCCACCACCUAGAAAACCACCACCACCACCCCCUAGAAAACCACCACCACCACCACCUAGAAGACCACCCCCACCACCACCAAGAACUCCUCCGCCACCACCACCAAGAACUCCUCCGCCACCACCACCAAGAACUCCUCCGCCACCACCACCAAGAACACCACCACCACCACCACCUAGAACCCCACCACCACCACCACCUAGAACCCCACCACCACCACCACCUAGAACCCCACCACCACCUAGAACCCCUCCACCACCACCACCACCAAGAACUCCUCCACCACCACCACCUAGAACACCUCCACCGCCACCACCAAGAACACCACCGCCACCACCACCAAAAACACCCCCCCCCCCACCACCAAGAAAUCCUCCGCCACCACCACUAAAAAACCUCCACCCCCA